UUCCAGUCAUUCAUAACAUGUUAUUGAAUAUAAUUUCUCAGAUAUAGUAGCAUGACCAAAAUAGUAAGACAAGCAGAAGGCACUGUGAUGGACAACCUGGUUGUAGUGCACCAGCAUGUCAGAUAGAUGUUCUACACCCCGGAACUUGAUGGGUUGGGGCUUAGGCUGUUGAGAGUAACGGUUGUGAGAAGCAUUCCAAGUUUUUGUUGGAUCAUCCAAGCCAAGUUGGCGAGCAACUCUCUCCACAACAUCAUCAUAGGUGAAAAGCUUUGACCUAGAUAUUUCAAUCACGUCAAUGGAGAAAAAUAAAAAAGUUAAUGGGCUGUCAGUACUAAGGAAUGGGGUGUAUUAAAAUUUUAAAAACAUCGUCAUAAAUUUAACAUCUGUUAGCAAUUCAAAAAGUCACACAUCACCUUUAAUGUUCGCAGAUCAGAAGGGGCUGAUUCAUUAAAAAAAAAAAGAA